UUAAGCGACUAAGCGUACACGGUGGAUGCCCUGGCAGUCAGAGGCGAUGAAGGACGUGCUAAUCUGCGAUAAGCGUCGGUGAGGUGAUAUGAACCGUUAUAACCGGCGAUUUCCGAAUGGGGAAACCCAGUGUGUUUCGACACACUAUCAUUAACUGAAUCCAUAGGUUAAUGAGGCGAACCGGGGGAACUGAAACAUCUAAGUACCCCGAGGAAAAGAAAUCAACCGAGAUUCCCCCAGUAGCGGCGAGCGAACGGGGAGGAGCCCAGAGCCUGAAUCAGUGUGUGUGUUAGUGGAAGCGUCUGGAAAGGCGUGCGAUACAGGGUGACAGCCCCGUACACAAAAAUGCACAUACUGUGAGCUCGAUGAGUAGGGCGGGACACGUGGUAUCCUGUCUGAAUAUGGGGGGACCAUCCUCCAAGGCUAAAUACUCCUGACUGACCGAUAGUGAACCAGUACCGUGAGGGAAAGGCGAAAAGAACCCCGGCGAGGGGAGUGAAAAAGAACCUGAAACCGUGUACGUACAAGCAGUGGGAGCCUCUUAAUGGGGUGACUGCGUACCUUUUGUAUAAUGGGUCAGCGACUUAUAUUCUGUAGCAAGGUUAACCGAAUAGGGGAGCCGAAGGGAAACCGAGUCUUAACUGGGCGUUAAGUUGCAGGGUAUAGACCCGAAACCCGGUGAUCUAGCCAUGGGCAGGUUGAAGGUUGGGUAACACUAACUGGAGGACCGAACCGACUAAUGUUGAAAAAUUAGCGGAUGACUUGUGGCUGGGGGUGAAAGGCCAAUCAAACCGGGAGAUAGCUGGUUCUCCCCGAAAGCUAUUUAGGUAGCGCCUCGUGAAUUCAUCUCCGGGGGUAGAGCACUGUUUCGGCAAGGGGGUCAUCCCGACUUACCAACCCGAUGCAAACUGCGAAUACCGGAGAAUGUUAUCACGGGAGACACACGGCGGGUGCUAACGUCCGUCGUGAAGAGGGAAACAACCCAGACCGCCAGCUAAGGUCCCAAAGUCAUGGUUAAGUGGGAAACGAUGUGGGAAGGCCCAGACAGCCAGGAUGUUGGCUUAGAAGCAGCCAUCAUUUAAAGAAAGCGUAAUAGCUCACUGGUCGAGUCGGCCUGCGCGGAAGAUGUAACGGGGCUAAACCAUGCACCGAAGCUGCGGCAGCGACACUAUGUGUUGUUGGGUAGGGGAGCGUUCUGUAAGCCUGUGAAGGUGGCCUGUGAGGGUUGCUGGAGGUAUCAGAAGUGCGAAUGCUGACAUAAGUAACGAUAAAGCGGGUGAAAAGCCCGCUCGCCGGAAGACCAAGGGUUCCUGUCCAACGUUAAUCGGGGCAGGGUGAGUCGACCCCUAAGGCGAGGCCGAAAGGCGUAGUCGAUGGGAAACAGGUUAAUAUUCCUGUACUUGGUGUUACUGCGAAGGGGGGACGGAGAAGGCUAUGUUGGCCGGGCGACGGUUGUCCCGGUUUAAGCGUGUAGGCUGGUUUUCCAGGCAAAUCCGGAAAACCAAGGCUGAGGCGUGAUGACGAGGCACUACGGUGCUGAAGCGACAAAUGCCCUGCUUCCAGGAAAAGCCUCUAAGCAUCAGGUAACAUCAAAUCGUACCCCAAACCGACACAGGUGGUCAGGUAGAGAAUACCAAGGCGCUUGAGAGAACUCGGGUGAAGGAACUAGGCAAAAUGGUGCCGUAACUUCGGGAGAAGGCACGCUGAUAUGUAGGUGAAGCGACUUGCUCGUGGAGCUGAAAUCAGUCGAAGAUACCAGCUGGCUGCAACUGUUUAUUAAAAACACAGCACUGUGCAAACACGAAAGUGGACGUAUACGGUGUGACGCCUGCCCGGUGCCGGAAGGUUAAUUGAUGGGGUUAGCGGUAACGCGAAGCUCUUGAUCGAAGCCCCGGUAAACGGCGGCCGUAACUAUAACGGUCCUAAGGUAGCGAAAUUCCUUGUCGGGUAAGUUCCGACCUGCACGAAUGGCGUAAUGAUGGCCAGGCUGUCUCCACCCGAGACUCAGUGAAAUUGAACUCGCUGUGAAGAUGCAGUGUACCCGCGGCAAGACGGAAAGACCCCGUGAACCUUUACUAUAGCUUGACACUGAACAUUGAGCCUUGAUGUGUAGGAUAGGUGGGAGGCUUUGAAGUGUGGACGCCAGUCUGCAUGGAGCCGACCUUGAAAUACCACCCUUUAAUGUUUGAUGUUCUAACGUGGGCCCCUUACCGGGGUUGCGGACAGUGUCUGGUGGGUAGUUUGACUGGGGCGGUCUCCUCCUAAAGAGUAACGGAGGAGCACGAAGGUUGGCUAAUCCUGGUCGGACAUCAGGAGGUUAGUGCAAUGGCAUAAGCCAGCUUGACUGCGAGCGUGACGGCGCGAGCAGGUGCGAAAGCAGGUCAUAGUGAUCCGGUGGUUCUGAAUGGAAGGGCCAUCGCUCAACGGAUAAAAGGUACUCCGGGGAUAACAGGCUGAUACCGCCCAAGAGUUCAUAUCGACGGCGGUGUUUGGCACCUCGAUGUCGGCUCAUCACAUCCUGGGGCUGAAGUAGGUCCCAAGGGUAUGGCUGUUCGCCAUUUAAAGUGGUACGCGAGCUGGGUUUAGAACGUCGUGAGACAGUUCGGUCCCUAUCUGCCGUGGGCGCUGGAGAACUGAGGGGGGCUGCUCCUAGUACGAGAGGACCGGAGUGGACGCAUCACUGGUGUUCGGGUUGUCAUGCCAAUGGCACUGCCCGGUAGCUAAAUGCGGAAGAGAUAAGUGCUGAAAGCAUCUAAGCACGAAACUUGCCCCGAGAUGAGUUCUCCCUGACCCUUUAAGGGUCCUGAAGGAACGUUGAAGACGACGACGUUGAUAGGCCGGGUGUGUAAGCGCAGCGAUGCGUUGAGCUAACCGGUACUAAUGAACCGUGAGGCUUAACCUU
rnacentral:rRNA from 1 species